rnacentral:rRNA from 1 species
GACGAAGGGGGCAAGCGUUGUUCGGAGUUACUGGGCGUAAAGAGUGCGUAGGCGGUUUUCUAAGUUUGGUGUGAAAUCUCCCGGCUUAACUGGGAGGGUGCGCCGAAAACUGGAAGGCUUGAGUAUGGGAGAGGUAAGCGGAAUUCCUGGUGUAGCGGUGAAAUGCGUAGAUAUCAGGAGGAACACCUGCGGUGUAGACGGCUUACUGGACCAUAACUGACGCUGAGGCACGAAAGCGUGGGUAGCAAACAGG